rnacentral:lncRNA from 1 species
AUUUCUCUCAUUUCCUCCUCCUCCUCCUUCUUCUUCUUCUUCUUCUUCUUCACCUCAUGCUUCUUCCAUUGCUAGGGUUCUUAAUCCAUGCAUGCACUAAGUUCUAACAUGGUAUCAGAGCGAGAGCUUUGAAUUACAGCUCACAAAAUCGAUCCAGUUCUGUUUCUUCUUCAUCUUCUCAAAUCUCUUCUUCGCCUCUCGAAUCUG